GACGAACGCUGGCGGCGUGCUUAACACAUGCAAGUCGAACGGAAAGGCCCUGCUUUUGUGGUGUGCUCGAGUGGCGAACGGGUGUAUAACACGUGAGUAACCUGCCCCUGACUUUGGGAUAACUUCAGGAAACUGGGGCUAAUACCGGAUAGGAGCUCCUGCUGCAUGGGGGGGGUUGGAAAUUUUCGGGGGUUGGGGAUGGACUCGCGGCUUGUCAGCUGGUUGGUGGGGUAGUGGCUUACCAAGGCUUUGACGGGUAGCCGGCCUGAGAGGGUGACCGGCAACAUUGGGACUGAGAUACGGCCCGGCCUCCUCCGGGAGGAAGCAGUGGGGAAUAUUGCAAAAUGGGCGGAAGCCUGAUGCAGCAACGCCGCGUGCGGGAUGACGGCCUUCGGUUUGUAAACCGCUUUCGCAUGUGACGAAGCGUGAGUGACGGUAAUGGGUAAAGAAGCACCGGCUAACUACGUG
rnacentral:rRNA from 1 species